AACGAACGCUGGCGGCAUGCCUAACACAUGCAAGUCGAACGAGACCUUCGGGUCUAGUGGCGCACGGGUGCGUAACGCGUGGGAACCUGCCCUUAGGUUCGGAAUAACUCCCCGAAAGGGGUGCUAAUACCAGAUAAUGUCUUCGGACCAAAGAUUUAUCGCCUUUGGAUGGGCCCGCGUUGGAUUAGCUAGUUGGUAGGGUAAAAGCCUACCAAGGCGACGAUCCAUAGCUGGUCUGAGAGGAUGAUCAGCCACACUGGGACUGAGACACGGCCCAGACUCCUACGGGAGGGAGCAGUAGGGAAUAUUGGACAAUGGGCGAAAGCCUGAUCCAGCAAUGCCGCGUAAGUGAUGAAGGCCUUAGGGUUGUAAAGCUCUUUUACCCGGGAUGAUAAUGACAGUACCGGGAGAAUAAGCUCCGGCUAACUCCGUG
rnacentral:rRNA from 1 species